rnacentral:sRNA from 1 species
AUAUCAAUAAGCGGAGGAAAAGAAACCAACAGGGAUUGCCCUAGUAACGGCGAGUGAAGCGGCAACAGCUCAAAUUUGAAAUCUGGCUCUUUCAGAGUCCGAGUUGUAAUUUGCAGAGGGCGCUUUGGCUUUGGCAGCGGUCCAAGUUCCUUGGAACAGGACGUCACAGAGGGUGAGAAUCCCGUACGUGGUCGCUAGCUAUUGCCGUGUAAAGCCCCUUCGACGAGUCGAGUUGUUUGGGAAUGCAGCUCUAAAUGGGAGGUAAAUUUCUUCUAAAGCUAAAUAUUGGCCAGAGACCGAUAGCGCACAAGUAGAGUGAUCGAAAGAUGAAAAGCACUUUGGAAAGAGAGUCAAACAGCACGUGAAAUUGUUGAAAGGGAAGCGCUUGCAGCCAGACUUGCUUGCAGUUGCUCAUCCGGGCUCUUGCCCGGUGCACUCUUCUGCAGGCAGGCCAGCAUCAGUUUGGGCGGUGGGAUAAAGGUCUCUGUCACGUACCUCUCUUCGGGGAGGCCUUAUAGGGGAGACGACAUACCACCAGCCUGGACUGAGGUCCGCGCAUCUGCUAGGAUGCUGGCGUAAUGGCUGUAAGCGGCCCGUCUUGAAACACGGACCAAGGAGUCUAACAUCUAUGCGAGUGUUUGGGUGUCAAGCCCGAGCGCGUAAUGAAAGUGAACGGAGGUGGGAACCCGCAAGGGCGCACCAUCGACCGAUCCUGAAGUUUACGGAAGGAUUUGAGUAAGAGCAUGGCUGUUGGGACCCGAAAGAUGGUGAACUAUGCUUGAAUAGGGUGAAGCCAGAGGAAACUCUGGUGGAGGCUCGCAGCGGUUCUGACGUGCAAAUCGAUCGUCAAAUUUGGGCAUAGGGC